UUAUUAUAUGACCUUGAGGUAGUCUCCCAUGCAACGGUACAAGUAUUUGACACAUUCUUGGUAACACAUAGAUACAUUAGUAAGAGAGAAGUUAAUCUGACGUCUUUGUUGAGUAAGAAUUUGACAUGAAGGCAUCUGAGCUACCAAGAUGAUCCUAGGAAUGGAAAUUUACCAUUAGAGGGUUUGCUAAUAAAUUGUGUUAUCUUAGAAGAACUAUCUGCUUCUGAUUUGGAAAGGCUAUCUGCUUCUGAUUGCUACAAAUUUCAAAUUAUCCACAUAGUCACAUCCAAAUUCAAAAAAGGAGUCAAAGCAUACUAACGCAAUUGAGUGUCUCAUAUUUGAUGAUGUGCACUAGACCUGAUAUCUCUCAUGUAAAGGUGGUCUAUAGGCUUAUGGUAGAUCCUGGAAAAGAGCAUUUGGAGUGCAUCAAAAUGGAUCUUCAUACAUAUUCUAGGCACUUGUGACUGUGAUAUCCUAUUUUCUAAGAGAGCUUGUACAUAUGCUAUCGUUUUUUUUUUUAAAUGAAGACCAUAUUGGGAAUC